UACCUGUUAUUUCCUGCCAGUAGUCAUAUGCUUGCUCAAAGAUUAAGCCAUGCAUGUGUAAUUAUGAACAAUAUCAAUACUGUGAAACUGCGAAUUCCAUUAAAAUCAGUAUUAUUUUGUUUGAUGAUCUUGUACUCGCUGAAUAACCGUAGUAAUUCAGCAAUACGUGCAACAAACCCCUGACUUCUGAAGAUGCAUUUAUUAGAUUAAUAUUAAGGUCGACGCGGGCUUUGCCCGUUGCUGCUUAUGAUCAUGAUAACUCGACGAUGUCGCACGCCCUUGUCCGCGCACGCAUCAUUCAAAUUUCUGCCCUAUCAACUUUCGAUGGUUAGUGAUAUGGCCUACUAUGGUGGUGACGGCUGACGGAAAUUAUGGUUCGAUUCUCAAGAGGGAGCCUGAAAACGGCUACCACAUCCAAGGAAGCACAGGCGCGCAAAUUACCCAUCCUGACACGGGACAGGUAGUGACAAUAAAUAACAAUACCGGGCUCAUACGAGUAUCUUGGAAUUUGGAAUGAUACAAUCUAAAUCCCUUAACGAGGAUCCAUUGGAGGGCAAGUCUAAGGUGCCACAGCCCGCGUAAUUCCAUCCAAUAGCGUAUAUUAAGUUGUUGCAGUUUAAAAAGCUCGUAGUUGUACUUUGGGUUGGGUUUCGGACCGGGUCCGCCAUCAGGUGUGCACCGGUUUACUCGCCCUUCUGUCGGCGAUGCGCUCCUACCCUUAACUGCGGUCUGCUCUUUCCCCUUGCUUUGUACUUUGAAAAACAUUAGAUGCUCAAAGCAAGCCUACGCUCUGUAUACAUUAGCAUGGAUAAAUCAUACGGAUCUAAUUUCCUAGCUUACGUUUCUCUUCGGAUCGUGACUUAUCUACUCUAGUUUAGUACUUACCAUUCAUCAGUAUAAUGAUAACAGGUAGUAGUCUGGGCAUUCGUCCAUUUCAUAGUCAGAGGUGAAAUAUGGAUUUAUGAAAGACGAACAACUGCGAAAAGCAUUUGCCAAGGAUGUUUUCAUUAAUCAAGAACGAAAAGUUGUGUACCUUACUGGCUCGAAGACGAUCAGAUACCGUCCUAGUCUCAACCAUAAACGAUGCCGACCAGGGAUCAGCGGAUGUAUGCAUCUUUAUGACUCCGCUGGCACCUUAUGAGAAAUCAAAGUUUUUGGGUUCCGUCGGGAGUAUGUCGCAAGCUGAAACUAAAGGAAUUGACGGAAGGCACCACCAGGAGUGGAGCCUGCGGCUUAAUUUGACUCAAACACGGGAAACUUACCAGGUCCAGACAUAGUAAGGAUUGACAGACUGAGAGCUCUUUCUUGAUUCUAUGGGUGUGGUGCAUGGCCGUUCUUAGUUGGGGAGCGAUUUUCUGUUUAAUUCCGUAUAUACGAACGAACCUCAGCCUUGCUAACUAGCUAUUGUAGUAUCCCUCCAUGCGCCAGCUUCUUAGAGGACUAUGGCCUUAGGCCACGAAGUUUGAGGCAAUAACAGGUCUGUUGAUGCCCUUAGAUGUUCUGGGCCGCACCCCGCUACACUGAUGUAUUCAACGAUAUAUACCUGCGACACCCGGGAAAUCUUUGAAAUUUCAUCGUGAUGGGGAUAAUCAUUGCAAGUUUCUUAAACGAGGAAUUCCUAGUAAGCGCGAGUCAUCAGCUCGCGUUGACUACGUCCCUGCCCUUUUGUACACACCGCCCGUCGCUCCUACCGAUUGAAUGGUCCGUGAGUUAGGAUCGUGGCGACGUGGGCGGUUCGCUGCCCGCGACGUCGCGAGAAUUCCACUGAACCUUAUCAUUUAGAGGAAGGAGAAGUCGUAACAAGGUUUCCGUAGGUGAACCCGGAAGGAUCAUUG
rfam:Helianthus annuus unplaced genomic scaffold HanXRQChr00c1151, whole genome shotgun sequence.